CACAGAAACUCUUUUUGACUCUCACCAUGGCGUGGGCCCUGUUUCUCCUCACAGUUCUCAGUUACUACUCAGGCGUCACAUCCUUGUCACCUUGGAGUCAGCCUGCCUCAGCAUCUGCAUCGCCGGGACAAACAGCAAAACUCUCCUGCUCUACCGACAGUGGAAGUUACAACAUUCACUGGUAUCAGCAGAAGUCUGGCCAGGCCCCUCGCUAUGUCCAUUAUCCAGGAGGCAGCAGGGGAGAGGGGAUCCCGGAUCGCUUCACGGCUUCUGCUUCUGGCAGCACUGGCUACUUAACCAUCGCCAACAUCCAGCCUGAAGAUGAGGCAGUUUAUUACUGUGGCAAGUGGGAGAGGAGCGGUAGCGAGUUCCACAGUGGUAAAAGCUAA